GAUGAACGCUGGCGGCGUGCCUAAUACAUGCAAGUCGAGCGAACAGACGAGGAGCUUACUCCUCUGACGUUAGCGGCGGACGGGUGAGUAACACGUGGAUAACCUACCUAUAAGACUGGGAUAACUCCGGGAAACCGGAGCUAAUACCGGAUAACAUGUUGAACCGCAUGGUUCAACAGUGAAAGACGGUCUUGCUGUCACUUAUAGAUGGAUCCGCGUCGCAUUAGCUAGUUGGUAAGGUAACGGCUUACCAAGGCAACGAUGCGUAGCCGACCUGAGAGGGUGAUCGGCCACACUGGAACUGAGACACGGUCCAGACUCCUACGGGAGGCAGCAGUAGGGAAUCUUCCGCAAUGGGCGAAAGCCUGACGGAGCAACGCCGCGUGAGUGAAGAAGGUCUUCGGAUCGUAAAACUCUGUUAUUAGGGAAGAACAAAUGUGUAAGUAACUAUGCACGCCUUGACGGUACCUAAUCAGAAAGCCACGGCUAACUACGUG
rnacentral:rRNA from 1 species